rfam:Oryza sativa Japonica Group DNA, chromosome 3, cultivar: Nipponbare, complete sequence.
UAUAAGUGAAGCUAUAAGUUUUCGUGCCCAACUUUGAUCGUCUGUCUUGUUUGAAAUUUUUUUAUAAUUAGUAUUUUUGUUGUUAUUAGAUGAUAAAAUAUGAAUAGUAUUUUAUACGUGACUUAUGUUUUUAAUUUUUUUUUAAAAAAAAUAAAUAAGACGGACGAUUAAUGUUGGACACGGAAAAUCAUGGAUGCACUUAAA